rnacentral:tRNA from 1 species
GCGCCCUUAGCUCAAUUGGAUAGAGCGUCUGCCUUCGGAGCAGAAGGUUGAGGGUUCGAGUCCUUCAGGGCGCG